AUGAGAGUUAAGCUUAUGUCAUUCUUUUCACUUCUUACUUGCUGCUUCCUGGUCAUGGAUACUUCGGACAUUUUGCUACAAAUCCUUUUCGAAGAAUCUCCUGACGAAAUCCCAGAUCAUGGCACGGAAGACAUCGAUCCAACCCUGCUAGUAAGACGCAGCUCUAGGAUUGCAGCGAGGAAUCCUUUUUCCAUCACCGAAUGGCCCAUAGAAAGGAUUUUGUCCACCUUAUACACUCUGAACGUUCAAGUGCCUCCGAAUCUGGAUCACGAUCAGCUCUUGACUCUAUUACAAGAAGUCAAUCAAGACCCACAGCCCCCAUCCACCAACGCAGCAUCUUCUCUUCCCCGAUCUACCGGCCGUAAAGCCACGGAGAAAAGGAAAAAUAUCUCCACCGAUCAAGCAGGCCUAACUCCAAAGAAAGCAAAAACAGCAAGUGCCUCUUUAGCUCCAGUACAAGGAGAAGACAAGAUUCUCUCAGCGCUGCUCUCAAUUCAAGGAACCCUUUCCGCCAUGGAUAACAGGAUCCAGGCGCUGGAGUCACAGCGCUCUUCUCAUGCACCUCAGGUGGGGGUCGAUGGACAGACUUCCAGCUCAACAUCUAACCGCGCUAUUACCCCCGACUUAGCGCUUCCUAGUAGAUCUCUCGGAUCAGCACUACCUGCCGCUUCCACUGGACUGCCCUUUUUCCCUCCAGCAGCUGCUGUCUCUCCUCAUCUGCGCGCUCAAAUCCUGUCAGGUAACGACAUUAACUUGGUUAAAAUAUUGCUAUGUGCAGAAACUAACGAGAGAAGGAUCGUGGAUUGCGGAGACAUAUCUGUCAUUCUUAAAGAUAAUGAUCCAAGACUUACCAAAAGUUUAACCAUGGCAGAAUUUAAUGUUGCUUUCGGAGUGUUCAGAGACAUUAUCUGUGAAGAGUAUCCAGACAGGAGGCAGGAAUUAGACAUCUAUUUAGCUAUCAUCUCGGAUCUCGCUAUGUCUUACGGAGGCACACUAUUCUAUGAAUAUCACAAAUCUUUCUCAUCCAAAGCAGCUAUGUACAUACACCGUUUCAAUCAGAAACUGGACUGGUCCGUGGUCGAUCUAGCACUCAUUAGCAGACACUUUACAGGCCAUCGAGCAUUGUCAUGCUCUCUCUGUAGUUCGUUUUCCCACUCAGCUUCUCUCUGCCCCAAGACCGCGUCAUCCUACGACACUAGCGCUCCGGCGACAGGACAGCUACUGCGGGAACAGUCACCCAAGGUUUUCUUGUCCACGAUGCACAAAAUAUUUAAAACAGAAAUAAACACUCCAGUGAACACUAAAGAGCUAUCCAAAGCUCUGGGGAAGCAUCCAAAUCGCUGUUUCGUGUCUUACCUCAUUUUUGGGCUCAUGCACGGGUUUUUAGUCGGUCUUUCCAAUAUGCCAACCUUCUCAUUUACCUGCAAAAAUCUCCAGUCAGCUAUCAAAGAUCCCCAGGCUGUAGACGAUAGUAGUGUAAUCAUAUCCUAA
ensembl:lncRNA